AAACCUCUCCUUGAAACUCACAAAGCAUAUUCCCUCUCGGAGGAGCCCACGUGGUGAGGGGCUCACCGCCUUUCCCAAACGGGCCACUAGUCCCCGUUUCACCUUGCUGAGCCCUGGGUCCAGGACCCUGGACCAGAAAAUCACUUUUGAAGUCGUUUCUCAGGGUGGUCAACUCUCCCUAGCUCGCCAGCCUCCUUCCUGAACAAAUGGAGAGAGCUUCCUGGUGGCUCAGUAGAAAAGAAUCUGCCUGCAAUGCAGAAGCAGCCGCAGGAGACAGGGGUUCGAUCCCUGGGUGGGAAAGAUCCCCUGGAGGAGGAAAUGGCAGCCUACUCCAGUGUUCUUGCCUGGAGAG
ensembl:lncRNA